UACGGAGGAUCCAAGCGUUAUCCGGAAUCAUUGGGGUUUAAAGGGUCCGUAGGCGGUCUUAUAAGUCAGUGGUGAAAUCUCCCCCGCUCAACGGGGAAACGGCCAUUGAUACUGUAGGACUUGAAUUAUAAGGAAGUAACUAGAAUAUGUAGUGUAGCGGUGAAAUGCUUAGAGAUUACAUGGAAUACCAAUUGCGAAGGCAGGUUACUACUUAUGGAUUGACGCUGAUGGACGAAAGCGUGGGUAGCGAACAGGAUUAGAUACCCGCGUAGU
rnacentral:rRNA from 1 species